rnacentral:rRNA from 1 species
CAGCCGCCCGGUAAUACAGAGGGUGCAAGCGUUAAUCGGAAUUACUGGGCGUAAAGCGCGCGUAGGUGGUUCGCCAAGUUGGAUGUGAAAUCCCCGGGCUCAACCUGGGAACUGCAUCCAAAACUGGCGAGCUAGAGUAUGGUAGAGGGUGGUGGAAUUUCCUGUGUAGCGGUGAAAUGCGUAGAUAUAGGAAGGAACAUCAGUGGCGAAGGCGACCACCUGGACUGAUACUGACACUGAGGUGCGAAAGCGUGGGGAGCAAACAGGAUUAGAUACCCCCGUAGUCCCUGUCUCUUAUACC